CGAUGAUCUGUUUGAUGUGCAUGGACACGAGGAGAUUGACCCAGAUGAAUUUGGAAGUGAUGAGGCGUAUGCUGGGGCGCUUCAGGAUGCAGAGGGGAAGAAAUUGGCUGUUCGAUUGAUGGCUUUUACGGGUAUCCAUGAGAGUAAGCAAUUGACCUCUUCCUGCAACUUUUCUUGGCUUCUGGUGGAGGGAACUGUGGUUCCUUUUUAUGAAUAUUCCGUAUGACCCAAGUAGAAUUGGAGCAAAGUAGAUGUUUGUCACUUUGCAGGGGAAUCGAACGGCAGCGAUGAAAAUGGCACCAAUUCUCAGCGAUGCGGGGACCAUUAUGGAGAACCUCAAAUAACUCUUUCAAACCGAUGGAUGUAAUGAUCGAAGUGUUGUUAAUAUCUAUAUUUAACCUGCAUCAUUGUGUUGAAUUUUGAUGGUCUGGCAUCAACAGAAUAGAAAACAAGAGAGUUCAUAUACCAGGAGGCAAGAUAGUGAGAUGCUAGUACAUAUGACCUUCAAAACAUGGCAAAGUAAUCAGUAUAAAAUUAUUCUCAAGUCCUCACGUAAGAGGUGUUACAAUUCUCCCUUAAGGCGCACACAUCCCCAUGUGUGGAACCAAGGCUGAUUUGGCCGAUGCAGGCCUUAAGUUCGUUUAUAUUCUAAGGGGGGCAGGGCAGUUUCAGCUCUGUUAUCAUUUUGUUUUUCCCCUAACUGGUGUGUGCUGGCGAUUCAGGCUCAUUAAGCCCGGGAUUG